GUUGGGGAGGCAGAGUGGUUAAGGCGUUGGAUUAGAAAUCCAAUGGGAUCUUCCCGCGCAGGCCCGAAUCCUGCCCGCAACG
rfam:Nematostella vectensis strain CH2 x CH6 NEMVEscaffold_452_Cont27648, whole genome shotgun sequence.